CCACGCCUUUUCAUCUAUUGGUCAGUUUGUGAGCUUGUGGGCGUGGCUUAACGCAACACUGCUAGGCAAAGGGGUGGCCUUCUUGCCAAUCAGAACCGAGACGCCUGGAGGGGGUGGGACCAGGGAAGAAGUGAGGGCGCCCCCGAGUGGGUGUGGUCACGUUGCCCAGCAGUGGGCGGUGAUUGGCCCUGGGCGGUGCAAUCGCAACUUGUGCGUCACGACGCUGCCAGCUGAUCGGAGACUGGAGCCGGUGUGUGCUGGGCGCUGGGAAGAGACAGCGCCGCCGGCCGUGGGGAGCGGACCGCAGUGAUUUGCUCCCUAACUCUCAGCAACCCCCACACCCAGCACCAGGAGCUUGUGCCUCCGCCAUCCUCACCUGGCUGAGCCGCAGUAGUUCUUCAGUGGCAAGCUUUAUGUCCUGACCCAGCUAAAGCUGCCAGUUGAAGAACUGUUGCCCUCUGCCCCUGGCUUCAAGGAGGAAGAGGAGAAGGAUCUGCUUUCUCUAUCAUCUGGAAGGUGACAGAACUGGGGCUGGGAAGAUCUUAACUGCAGGGGUGAUAAUAGCUUUGGGGAGGAAAGAAAACCCUACUCAGAGAACCUUCACCCAGAUUGUCCCAGCAAAGGAGCAGCUUUAGAUAGAGAUGCUGGCUGAAUUGGGGAAUAGGUGGCUCAAACUCUCCAAGGUUAGUUGGUCUUUGUGUGGCAAUGGGAAGAAAUGGAGAGAAGGAAACUCUGUACACCUGGACCCAGAUUUCCUCCUUUCACCUACUUUCCUUAUCUCCCAAUCUUCCUACUUGGCCUUUCCAAAAGUGAGUUUACUCUUUAGGGAAAGGUGAUAGUAAAACUCUGACCUCUAUAAGUCAUCCCUCUGCUCUUUUCCCUGUGUUUUCUUAGACUGGCCUAGAUUCUAGAUUUAGGGACACCUAAAUCUUUGGGACACCUGUUUCUCCACCUGGAGAUGGGGAAUCCCACAGAUGAGUACGUAGGAGGGCAUUAGAAACCCACCUGUGCUGACUCAGCCUGGGCUCUCCUUCCCCUGUGGGUGGAAACAAAACAGCUUUUCACAUAAAUUCUCCCUCCCCCAUCUCUGAUUACAAUCCCAGGUGUUGGGGGGUGGGGAGGUAGAGCUACUUAGUAAGAGCUCAGUCUUUAUAUUGACUUCCCACCAUGCAAGCAUGACCUAAGGCUUCCCCUGCCACCCAAUAGCCAAUGGGGUUCUACUGCUGCUUCUCUUACUUUGCUUUCCAGGGUAGUGACUGACACUAAGCUUGGGCUUGUACAACCGGGGAAGAUGGGUUGUGGGAUGUGACCCCCUUUUGGAUGUCAGACAUUGUAAACCCACCACCUCUAGCUCCUCGUUCAUUCUCACUUGUGGGCUUGGGCUGGGGCUCUGGUGUGAUUCAGCCUUGGAUCAGUCUCCCUGACAGAACUACCCAAGUUCUGGGAUUACAGGAAGCUGUUUGAUCUGUUUGGUGAGAGGAGAUGUGCAGGGGGGCUUGAUCCUAUUCUCCAUUUAUGAGAAACUGAAAGUCAUAGGGGAGAGAAGAUCAUUGAACCCAGCUCCUCUGUAGCCUUAACUGAGGGGCAGGAUGUGUGUAGGACUAUGGUAGAGGAGGGUGGGUAGACUGAGUCUACUCAGAGGCUGCAACAAAGAUUGCUCUGUCCCUGGACAUUGCUUCCACCCUUUCUUUACCCCUCCUCACUUCACUGGCCACGGUGUGUCCAUCCAGCUCUGAGCAUAUAGCUCUGCCAUGUUCAGCCAUCACAGAGCAGAGGUGAGGAAGGGCAGCCUGAAAAUACAGAGGCAGGCAGAAGACCAGUGAAUGACCAGACCUGGAGAGCACAGGGCUGGAUCUGGGCAGCCAGCAGUGGGGCCCAUCAAGGACUGGAGUUCCCCAGGAGGAGGGAGAACAGCCAGCCUCCACCAAGGACAAGCUUCCAGCCAUCUCCUACUUCACUCACCAUUGUUCUUCAGUCCUUCUGCCUCUCUUGGAGAUGUGAAACCAUGGUGAAGUGUCCCAUGGCUUCACCUGCCUUCUUCCAGCUCUUUCCCAGCCUGUGAUUUUUAUAUAAGCAGCCUCAAGGAGCAUGAGGCAGCUGUGAGAGGACAUACUCAGGAAAUUCAUAAAAGGAAUUCAAAUGUAUAAGAUCAUGAAAAAAUGAUUUUAUAAUAAUGAUUAAGGAAGGAAAAAAAAUCACUGAAAGCAUUUUUCCCUUAGCAUAAUAAAUAAGAUGCAAUAUUGGCCAAAGAACUCUUAUACAUUACAUGUGGGAGUAUAAAUUGGUACAGCCUUUCUGGAUGGAAGUUUGAUAAUAUGUAUUAAACAACCUAAAAAGUUUCGUGUCUUUUAAACCAGUGUUUCGACAUUUGGGACUCUCUUAAGAAAAUAAUUAAAGAUUUAGUUAUAAAAUGUUCGUUCAUUCCAGGCCUAAAGAAAAAUGGAAAGCAACUGUUUGGGAAUUCAUUCCUUUUCUGCUGUAAUGAAAAUUUGCAAUAGGGGAUUUCUUAAGUAAAUUAUUGUAUAUCUGUCCAGAUGGUGGAGUACUGUGCAGCCAUUAAAAGUCAUGUACAAGAACAUUUUGACUGGAAAGAAAAAUGCUCUUUGAAUAUUAAAGAGGUUACAAAAAUAGUG